rnacentral:lncRNA from 1 species
CACAGAUCCUUUCCAGUUGUGUUGCCUGCAUGGCCUGACAGAAGGCAACUACUUCUUGUGGCGACCAAAGCCCAGCUGCUGGCACAGAUCUCUGCAUGGCUUGGGAGGCUCUAGGUUGGUUCAGCUGCACAGCCAGGCUGGGAGGAAGGAACUCUGCUUGGACUUCACCAGAUGUGGAGACUGGUCCCCAGUGGGGAACGAAUCUUGCCCUUUGAUGGGAUCCACUGAGGCCUCGAGGAGGGACUGUGGGAUUUUCUGCCUCUGAGCCACAGCUGUCACUUCUUCUGCCACUGGGAUGAGCUGGGCCAAUGGCAGCUUCGCUUUUGCUGUAGAUUUCCUGUAGUGGGUGUUCCAAAAACCUGCUGAUGAUAGCAGGUUUAAAAUCCCUGGACUGAUGGAUGGAAAUGACUGCUGGAACAAUCUGAGCACAUUACACAUCUCUUCCCUUUUUCACAGGAGGAAGUCCCUCACACAACAGUUCUCAUUGUUGCCCUGAUUAUUUACUCAAGAUACCAUUUUGUUCUAUUUUGUGCCUUGUUUAUGUUUCAUAGCUCAGUACAGGGCACUUCCUUUCCUCCCUAAAAUUAAAAUCUUAGCAUUCACAUGUUAUUCUGUGACACAGAAAGCCACAUCUCCUUUUUGCACAGGAAUGUGCACCUUUGAAAGUCCUGCUUGGAUCCCCUUCUCUGGACUCAAUGGUAUUUAUUAAUAGCAGAGAGGCAAAUCAAAUCUCUAGUACUUCUCCAGUGUGGGAAAGGUAACAGCCCUUUGUAUUACAGGGCCUCUCCUAAUUCUAAACACAUGUGGGAUGUCCUCUGACAAGUGAGUGAGGAGGCUUUUUUCCUAUUUUUAACUUUACUGAGAUAAGCAAAUUGCAGUGGCACAGACAAUCUGCUCUGUUAAGAAUCUGGCACCAUUUACAGUGGCUGGGGCAAGAGACUCAGCAGUAGAUUAGUGCUAAUUUCUCUUCACACAAAUAAUGGCACUGAUGACUCUUGACCAUGUGACAGGUUUGUGAGUGAUGAGCCUUGAGACUCCAGUAGUGACACUUUUCUUUCUCCACACUGGUAAAUUAUUCAUUAUUGGUGCAGCCCUGGGAAAACAUAAAAAAGAAAG